rnacentral:misc_RNA from 1 species
GUGAAUCAUCGAAUUUUUGAACGCAAAUUGCACUCUCUUGGGAGAGUAUGAGUGUUUGAGGGUGAGGCUAUAAAAAAUCGACAUUGUUGCUGUUUUGCGGUGGUGUUCGUUGGGAAUUGGGUCAUCUUAAAUCCUUUUGUUUUAAGGGAGUUAAAAUUUUCUUUUGGUUUAAUGAAAGUUUCUAAGAUCUAUUUCUUUACAAGUUUAAGGUAUAGUUUUUUAUUAGAGGUGACUAUGAUAUCGGAUCGCGCCUAUAAUAUU